CCAGGGUUUGUGGGAGGAAGAUGCAAAUUCCGGACGUGCAUUUUGGAACAUUCAAGAUGAUACAUAGGGUGGCUGGAGAGACAGCUCACUGGUGAAGAACACCUGCUGCUCUUCCAAAGGACUCCAGUUCAUUUCCCAUCACUCACAUCAGACUUCGAAGGAGGAUCAUUACUAUUAUUUACUCUACGCCUGCCCAAGACCUCCCUCAGUUCCUUGUCUGCAGGCCUAAACAUCUGAGCAGAGAAAAUAAAAGCAAAGAGUUCCCUAAAAUGCCACCAUACAGAAGGUUCAGGAAGUAAGAAACCUAAAGGCCUAAUUAUGCCUCUGAGAGAAGUGGUUUGGCAUCUCCAUCCCUGGAGGAAUGAUGUAGCACACACCAAGGCUUUAUGAACAGACAGCUUCCAGCCCAGGUUACAAAGCCUUGGGGACUACAGCAGAAAGCCAGCAUGUCAUAAUCACAAGUGUGACGAAAAUCACUCUCUUCCUGUCUCUGAAUGUGACUCCGUGAGAUGCUCAACCUAUCACAAAAUCUAUCCCUGAGUACUAUCUUCAGCACCCUUUAGUACCAAUGGGUACUGGGUGAAUGGAAAACUUCAAAGAAACUGC
rnacentral:lncRNA from 1 species